ACCGCGUGGGCGAGGGCAGCUAUGGAAUUGUCUAUCGGGCACGCGACACACGCAAUGGAGAAAUCGUUGCUCUGAAGAGGGUUCGCAUGGAUCAGGAAAAGGAUGGUCUGCCGGUCAGCGGGCUGCGUGAAAUAAUGAUACUAAAGCGCUGCCAGCACGAGAACAUUGUCCGGCUGCGGGAAGUUGUUGUGGGGAAGAGCCUGGACAGCAUAUUCCUUGUGAUGGACUUUUGUGA
rnacentral:sRNA from 1 species